ACCAGUGGAAAAAGUAUGACUCCUCAAAAAAUCAAUGUCUGUUCCUGUCACUUAAGUUUUUGUCCAAUAAGUAUAUAUAGGGGGGAGGGAGUAUUUGGAGGCAAACACUGUGCGGGCGCCGGUCGGCCUAUGGAACCACUGUUUUGUGCUCCGCGCAUUACGUCGAAGGCAAAUACGCCCCCUAAUCGAUCCUUCUUGCAGGAUCGGUGACUUUCACCUAACGCUUUCAUCGAAAAAAUGAAAGCGUUAGGUGAAAGGUCCAGCGACGGUUGAGGACCCCUAACGCUUCCACCUAAAAAAUGGAACCGUUAGGAACUGUCGUGACGGUUGAGGAGACUAACGCUAGCCGAAAUUUUUUUCCAAAGCGUUAGGAACUGUCAGAUUGUAGGAAGUUGGAGAUGCAUCGCCAUAUCGCUCUGACCCGGGCAGCAGGUUGGUGGGAGAUAAUCUCUUGAUAGUCUCUUGGUAAUCUCAAGCCCGCGAUGAUGGUUUACGAGGACACUUUCCUGGACCGUCGUCAAACCGAGUUUGAUUGAUAUUUUCAAUCAAGCUCGGGGUAAACCGUCCUCUUGUGGGUUCCGUUGCUGAUCUCGCAUUCAUAAGCAGGAAAGGAUGCAACGGAACGCGCAAGGUUUACAAAAAAUGGAGGCUUCGCCCAUCGUUCGGGGCAUUCUGGGGCUGUUUUGGCUAUUGGUUGCUUGUUUGGUCUUGAGCCGAACGGGUGGCUUCUAGUCUGGUGGCUUCGGGGAUGUUGACCGUAAAGGUGGAUGAGUGGUGUUUGGUUUGUUACGUGUGGUUGGCUGCGGCGCUUGCAACAACUUCCAUGCUUUCAGACCUCUUCAGUUGUGCGGCAAGGCUUGUAUCGCCUUGAGCGUAUUGUGGGUUUUCUGUGUUGAAUACCUAAUCAAUGGUAUCGGUUGGAUUGAUCAAAGUCUCGUUUCGUCUUCCGUCGUAUUCGCGGCGUGAGGUGAACAUCGAUGCGGUCUCUUUGAUCCACCUCGUCGAAGCACAUGCUUUGACGUUGUGGCACAUUGAGCAUUGCUUGGUCUCUUGUAUACGGAACAUAUAGUGGGCAUGGAUCUAACGAUUCUUGUUUGCCCUCAUAUAGCGUAACGCUUCUCUAACACGACGUGUGCCACGUUUUAGCUCGUACGGACGUGGUGCUAUGUCGAAGAGGAAUGC
rnacentral:misc_RNA from 1 species